rnacentral:pre_miRNA from 1 species
UCUGCAUACAUAUCGUGUUGCCAAGCCGUCUCCAUCAAAACAGGGACCAAGCGUGCCUGGAGACAGCAAGGCAGAACGAUAUGUACGCAGAU